GUACACACCGCCCGUCACACCAUGGGAGCGGGCUGCUACAGAAGUCGGUGCGCCAACCGCAAGGAGGCAGACGCCCACGGUAUGACCGAUGAUUGGGGUGAAGUCGUAACAAGGUAGCCGUAGGUGAACCUGCAGAAGGAUCA
rnacentral:rRNA from 1 species